rnacentral:rRNA from 1 species
AGUAAUGCCUAGGAAUCUGCCUGGUAGUGGGGGAGUAACGUUCGGAAACGGACGCUAAUACCGCAUACGUCCUACGGGAGAAAGUAGGGGGAGUCUUCGGACCUCACGCUAUCAGAUGAGCCUAGGUCGGAUUAGCUAGUUGGUGAGGUAAUGGCUCACCAAGGCGACGAUCCGUAACUGGUCUGAGAGGAUGAUCAGUCGCACUGGAACUGAGACACGGUCCAGACUCCUACGGGAGGCAGCAGUGGGGAAUAUUGGACAAUGGGCGCAAGCCUGAUCCAGCCAUGCCGCGUGUGUGAAGAAGGUCUUCGGAUUGUAAACCUCUUUUGGCAGGAAACAAACCUGCGCUAUACGCGCAGCUGAGGGUACCUGCAGAAUAAGCACCGGCUAACUCCGUG